CCUCCUCGAUCUGCUGCGGGCAGAUAAAAUGGAUAUGCGCGUCGAAGCCGCCGGCGGUAAGGAUCUUGCCCUCGCCAGCAAUCGCCUCGGUGCCUGGGCCGACGAUGAUGUUGACGCCGGGCUGCGUGUCCGGAUUACCAGCCUUUCCGAUUGCCGCAAUCCUGCCGUCGCGCAGGCCGAUAUCGGCCUUGUAGAUGCCGGUGACAUCGAUGACGAGUGCAUUGGUGAUGACCGUAUCCACGGCGCCGUCGGCGCGGGAGACCUGGCUUUGGCCCAUGCCGUCGCGG
rnacentral:sRNA from 1 species